rnacentral:rRNA from 1 species
AGCGCAGGCGGGAAAUCAAGUUGGAUGUGAAAUGUCGGGGCUUAACCCCGGAACUGCAUCCAAAACUGAUAUUCUUGAGUGAAGUAGAGGUAGGCGGAAUUCCGAGUGUAGCGGUGAAAUGCGUAGAUAUUCGGAGGAACACCAGUGGCGAAGGCGGCCUACUGGGCUUUAACUGACGCUGAGGCUCGAAAGUGUGGGGAGCAAACA